GGGAAUAUUGCACAAUGGGGGAAACCCUGAUGCAGCGACGCCGCGUGAGUGAAGAAGUAUUUCGGUAUGUAAAGCUCUAUCAGCAGGGAAGAAAAUGACGGUACCUGACUAAGAAGCCCCGGCUAACUACGUGCCAGCAGCCGCGGUAAUACGUAGGGGGCAAGCGUUAUCCGGAUUUACUGGGUGUAAAGGGAGCGUAGACGGUGUGGCAAGUCUGAAGUGAAAGCCCGCGGCUUAACUGCGGGACUGCUUUGGAAACUGCCAUGCUAGAGUGCUGGAGAGGUAAGUGGAAUUCCUAGUGUAGCGGUGAAAUGCGUAGAUAUUAGGAGGAACACCAGUGGCGAAGGCGGCUUACUGGACAGUAACUGACGUUGAGGCUCGAAAGCGUGGGGAGCAAACAGG
rnacentral:rRNA from 1 species